rnacentral:tRNA from 1 species
UAGGCAGAAGCCAGUUGGUUGCGGCAUGUAGCUGUUAACUACACUCUUGUGGGAUCGAAGCCCAUCUGUCUAG